GUCAGAAGUUAAAUAUGGGUGUUUUCUUCUGCUGCUAGCAUUUAUUUCUACCAGUAGAGUAUACGGGGUUGUAUAAAAUACAAACUGAAUGACUGAACCGACCAUUUGAAAUAUUAUCGUACUAAUAAUUCCUUUCCUCCUCCCUGAGCCUCAGUGACAAGAAGCAUUUAAGAUCCCAUGCAAUCUGUUUGUUUUUAAUACUUCCUAAGACACUGGAAGACCAUUCAUCUACUAGUAUCUCAGCUCAUUAGUCAGAAGCCAUGGGAAAAUAAGGAGCUCUUUCGGACCUGGCACCCAGAUCUUUCACACAAGGAAACACCUUCAUUCAGCAGAAGGCCUGCGCUUGGCUGAGGGCACUUUCUAUCAACAUGCUCCUCAAUCAGAGCAGUAGAGCAGCUUCAGUGAGCACAGGUCAGUCACUUAUCUCUUGGGGACAGGAUGUGGUUGGAUUUCAGGAUGUCACCAGUGAUCUUUCCUUCUUUCAUUAAUGGUAUUCUCGUCUUCGACUUGUCAGCGUUCAUUCAUGGAUAUCUGGGAGAUUACAGAUGUUGUGUGCUACCUGAAAGCAGGAUUGCCACAUCUGGUGAAGAAUAUUAACACUUUGAUGUGAGAAAACAUUGAAGCACAUCCCCCAUAAAAAUGUCUGGUCAGAGAUUCUACUGUUUAUUGAAUGGAAGAUUCUACUGUUUAUUGAAUGGAAGUCUCGUGGAUGACAGGAGACUGGAGACAUGGCAUUGAUAGCCUAGGCCUGAGCCAGGGCCAAGGUUUCUGCAGCCAACUGUGAAGUCACUGACAUAAGGACAAGGAAACAGCCCCAGACUGUACUGCACCAUGGCAUCACAGACAGGUGGAAACUCCCCACAGCCAUGGUCAAAGGAAGCUCUGCACCACCCACCUCUCACAAUAAAAUUUUCUGAUUCAUAAACGUAUUGGCUGAUUGAUCUGCUUCGUGCUGUCUUCAUUGAGAAAACUUAGGGGCCUUUCUGUAUGGACCUGACUCCCUUAGUGAUCUGUAUAAAUAAAUACAAGUAUGGAUACUUGUAAACUCAUUUUUAUUUGUUUGGGUGUACAGAGUUCUCUCUAUAUUGUUAUGUAUGAGUGAUUCCUGAUAGGAUGAAGUGUUUAGAUGUUGGUACCCUCAUGCUGGCCUUCACCUCCUUUUACCCUGGCCCUAACAUCAAGGUGGAGGCCAAGAGGAGGUGGGGUAGGGCAAGAUGAGGUGAUGAAGGGCUGUGAUGUAGCUGCAGGGCUGGGCAGGAAGCUCUGCCCACAGUCAGGAGUGACAGAAGGCUUUCCUUGUCAGCCAUUUCCUCAUGGGCCUGAGUUAUUUGGUUCAUCCAUCCCACUGCAUUUGACCAAAUGUGAAGAGUUACAGCUCUUUCUGCCCAGGCACUUGUGGGAUGGGCCUUCCAUCAUCUCCAGGCACCUGCUCUGAUGAUACAGUGGCCAUGUCACAGCCAACAGAAUUUCGGCAGUGUUACAGGGGCAUCUGUGACACAGCUGGCCCAGUAAGGGCUGCGCCGCUCAGCCAGUUCAGACUGGAGGGUGAGCAGAAGCAGAGGGCCUGAGGUCAAGAGGAAAACAUGACCAGGCCAUGGAACCCUCCUGUCCUCUGCUGCUCAGCUCGAGAGAUGUUCCGCCUUCUACAAGGACAUCGGUACAAAGAUGCGUAAUCAAAAUAACACCAGCCUGGCUGUAUUUUUGGGCAUUGGCGACGGCCUGCAUAGGGAGAUCAUAAAAAGAGCUGCACCCCUCUGCCAGCCCAGGCAAGAGUAGAGCGCGGGGAUGAUGAAACACUGUGAUGAGAAGGCAGGGACGACAAUGAGGGAGGGAAAUGAAGGGCUGGGCCCUGGGCAGGGAGGCAAGUGUGGCUGUCAUGCAACAGACUGUGUGUCCUCCUUUGUCUUUGAGGGCUACAGGCCCAGAGAAGGACAUGACCAGAUUAUGAAACCCUCCUGUCCUCAGCCACUCCACCAGAGAGAUGUUCCACCUUCUACAUGGACAUUGCUACAAAGCUAAGCAAUCAAAAUAACAGCAGUGCCCAUGUUACAGUGGGCAGCCAGCUGGUGGUGGCCCAUGUCACGUUUAGGUCAGUGACAUGGGCCAGCCCUAAACAGGUGUCUCCUGGCUGCCAGGAGACACAGAAUUGAAAGGCUUGGAUUGUGGUAAGGGUUGCCCAUGGGAAUGGAGGGUUGCUGCUCCUUUUGUUUGUCCAGAUUUUCUUGUUUUUGAAAGCCACAGGCCCCUCCUACCCAUGCCCUCCUCUCUGCCAGAGGUUUCUGCAGCCAUCUGUGAAGGCCCGGAACUAAGGACAAGGAAACACAGCCUCAGAGCGUACCUCACCUUGGCCUCACAGACAGCUGGAAAAUCCCCACAGCUCUGGACGAAAGGAGAUCUGCAUCAUCCGCUCUCUCACAGUAAAAUCUUCUGACUCAUAAAUGCA